CCCCUCUCAGGGUCGUGGCUGGAGAGUUUCCAGUGCUCUACCAGUCACAACUAUAGGAGGGAGAGUCAAGCAGAGGCCUACCCAUUCCAUUCCUAGCUUGGGCAGUGGCUAGCGAGUGGAAGGUCAUCGGCUACAAGU
rnacentral:snoRNA from 1 species